UCAAGUUUCAGCUUUAGCUUCAGCCGUCGCCCACACCAUCUUCAAUCACAUUCGUCGCCCACCCCAUCGCCACACCAUCGCCACACCACACCGUCCGUCGCCCACACCAUCGCCGAGUUCGGCCAGCCGCGCCGUCGCCCAGUUCGGCCACCGCCUUCACCCACCUUCUCCUCCUUCGCCAUCGACCAGUUCGCCGUUUCAUCCACCUCCGUCAGCCACCGUCUCGUCCUUCGACGCCGUUUCACCCACCGCCGUUGCCGGUGUGCCCACUGCCGUCAACCAGUUCGCCACCGCCGGCAGUCAGGCUCAAGCUUCGUCCAGUUAUUGGUAAUGCUAUUUGUUCUAUUUGUUCUAAUAUAGUUCUCGUAAUUUUUAUUGUAAUGCAGUUUUAUUCUAAUGCUAUUGCUAGGUAAUUUUUAUAAAUUCUAAUGCUAUUUGUUCUAGUAUAGGUAAUUUUUAUAAAUUUCAAUCCAGUACUUCAUAAUCUUGUAUAGGUAAUUUUUAUCAUUAUUACUCCGUAUUAUUUAAGCUGCAAAUUCCAGCUGCAAAUUAUGGCUCACUGAGGUAAACUUUCUAGGCCAACUUAGACUUCCUAAUUUCAUCAAGCUGAUUGGAUAUUGCUGCGAGGAUGAUCACCGAUUACUUGUUUAUGAGUUCAUGUUCAGAGGAAGCCUUGGUUAGUGUUGUUCCAUUUCCCUAAAAAGUAAUGCCCUGUAAUUUUAUAUACUGAUAUGCCUUUCCCGUGUUAGGCUAUAAUUCUAUACUCAUGUAACCUUGGUUAUGGGUCUUGCGGUAUCAUUCUAGCCAUUGGGUCUUGCUUAUUAAAUGGAACCAUAGAUGAAUUAUAUAUUUAUCAUUAUUUUAGUUUAUCUUACUGAGUUAUUAUGUGUCAUGCAAACUACACUAAUCCAGUAAAAUCCUAUAUCAAGAGAAAAGUAGGCACAUAGAACCUAACAAGUAGGAAACAUACUGUUAAUAUUUUCAAUUUCAUAGUGCAAUUACUUGGAUUAUAGAUUCUGAAAGCUGAGAAAUUGGCUUAAUAAUGAGAAUAAUGUGAUCUACUAUAUGAACACACAUAUACAACAAUGAGGGGAAGGUAGAGCUGUAGAGGAGAUGAGAAAGAGAGGGGGAGAGUGUGUGUGCUUUGGUGAGAACAUGGGAAUGGAAUCAAAAGGUGGCAAAUUUUAUGUAAGGUGAAUAGAGAUUGAACCUAAGACAUCUCAUAUAAGGUAUAUUCUUGCAGCCCUCCAUUUAAAAAUCUGCACAAAUCAUCAAUCAAUAUCUAAAAAAUUUUAAGAGAUUCCUUAAAACCUUUACAAGUUAAAAUCUUAUAUCAAAGUAUCAGUUUAAACAGAAACAUAAUUACUGUAGAACCACUUGAAAAAAUGUUAGCACUUGAAACUACCCAAACUUUAAGUGCUCAUUUAUAACCCUAACUUAAUAUUCUACUUUACUGGUUACUCUUCAGCAUCUCAGAUUUGUAGAAAUUUCUAACAGGCUUCUUUCUUAAUUAGAAGUAAUCAUAAUUAGCUUCCCUUGUGCUUUAUUAGUUUGAUUAAAGUGCAUGCAUCUCUUGUUCAGAAGAUGUGUUGAGUCCAUUGCACACAUUCUUGCACUCAUGUAGUAGCAUAACACAUGUUUGGGGGGAAGUUGCUUUGCAUUUGAUUCUGUUUAACAUUGUGAAUGAAAUCCUUAAGCUUAAUGAGGGAACAUGCAGAACUUCUUAAUUCUGUAAGAGAUGAUAUUAGUGAGUACAAGGUGAGUAAGCUCAAGUUUUAAGUUAUCUAAUGGAUGCAAAUGUAAAUUAAACAAAGUCGCGCCGGCCUCCACAGGACGAAAUAAUGUCUACUCCAGCUGUGUCUGCUGUGAUACGAAAGAGAAAGACACCAUUCUCUUCUAUUUGUAUUUUGUUUUGUUUUGUGAGUAUAAACAAUUCUUAAAUAUCUAUUUGACAGUUAAAUUGGGAAACACUUAUGCAGGGAUGUAGCCAUGUAGGGAGUAUUCAUUAACCUUAGCUACACCUUUAAUGAAUUUUGAUAACAGAUUCACUGCUAGACAUUUUCUAUCUGUUUCUUUUGGGAGUGAAAAAGAAUUUAUUGAUGAUGAAGAGGCAGAGUAGAUGGGUGUAGAUUUCCAGAUGGUAAAAGUGAAAUUGAGACAGGAGUGAAGAAAGAAGCCUAUUCCAGUUGAUGAAGAAUGAAGAAAGAAACCUAUUCAAAUCAAAUGAUCUUAAUGUUAGUUGUUGUUUGUUAAGAAUAUUAUAUUGUUGUUUAGACUUGAAUUGACUAUUAUUAUUUAUUAGAUGUGAAUUAAUAUAUAUUAUUACUUGAACCUAAUAUGGAUGGAUAGUGUUUUAAAAUUAUGU